rnacentral:rRNA from 1 species
GACGAACCGUGCGAACGUUGUUCGGAAUCACUGGGCUUAAAGGGCGCGUAGGCGGGCGUGCAAGUCUGUGGUGAAGGCCUCCAGCUUAACUGGAGAAGUGCCGUGGAUACUGCACAUCUUGAGGAGGGUAGGGGCAUCUGGAACGGUCGGUGGAGCGGUGAAAUGCGUUGAUAUCGACCGGAACUCCGGUGGCGAAGGCGAGGUGCUGGACCCUUUCUGACGCUGAGGCGCGAAAGCCAGGGGAG